rnacentral:rRNA from 1 species
UCUCCUACGGGAGGCAGCAGUGGGGAAUAUUGCACAAUGGGGGAAACCCUGAUGCAGCGACGCCGCGUGAGUGAGGAAGUAUUUCGGUAUGUAAAGCUCUAUCAGCAGGGAAGAAAAUGACGGUACCUGACUAAGAAGCCCCGGCUAACUACGUGCCAGCAGCCGCGGUAAUACGUAGGGGGCAAGCGUUAUCCGGAUUUACUGGGUGUAAAGGGAGCGUAGACGGAGGAGCAAGUCUGAAGUGAAAGCCCGUGGCUCAACCGCGGAACUGCUUUGGAAACUGUAAAGCUGGAGUACUGGAGAGG